UCGCCAUCCUCUCCCCCUCCCUCCUUCGGCCCCCGCUCCGGCUCUCCCUUCCUCCCGUCGCUCCCCACCCCCUCCCUUUCGGGUGCAGGCGUUUCCCGGCGGCGCACGGGGCCUCCGGCCUCGCCGAGCGAGGCUCCCGGGGGGUGGCGCGGCCCGCCGGGAGUCAGCCCCGUGGAAGGGGCCACGCUCGGGGCCGGCGGGGCCCGGCCGGACUGCGCGGCCGGCGGGGAGGCCGCGCGGCGGCGGAGCGCCGGCGGGGAGGGAGCCCGGGCGCCGCAGGCCGGCCCCGCGGAGCCGCAGAGAAGCUGUGGAAAUACACCCGGAUCGAAACGCCCCUGGCUCGCGUGACCCUACCCCGGGAGAAGCGGCCGAGUUACCCGACAUCGUGGUCAGCAGAAGCUGGGUCGGUGCCUGGGUGCUGCAGCUGCAGGAACUCGGUGCCUAGGAGGGCUCCUGUGCAAGGAGAGAAGCAGAGAUGCCACAUUUUUAAAGUUUCACAAAGCAUCCAGCUGCACCCAGGUUCCUGGAGCAGGAGACAAACAGAAUUAAUGUUUUAUACCUUCGGGUAUAGGUUUGAGUUUUUUCCCCCUCAUGCCAAGUAUUUAAAACCUCUAGAAACCCA